rnacentral:rRNA from 1 species
AUUGAACGCUGGCGGCAGGCCUAACACAUGCAAGUCGAGCGAGCGGCGCACGGGUGAGUAAUGUAUGGGGAUCUGCCCGAUAGAGAGGGGUAACUACUGGAAACGCUAGCUCAUACCGCAUAUCAUCGGAUGUGCCCAGAUGGGAUUAGCUAGUAGGUGGGGUAAAGGCGCACCUAGGCGACGAUCCCUAGCUGGUCUGAGAGGAUGACCAGCCACACUGGAACUGAGACACGGUCCAGACUCCUACGGGAGGCAGCAGUGGGGAAUAUUGCACAAUGGGCGCAAGCCUGAUGCAGCCAUGCCGCGUGUAUGAAGAAGGCCUUCGGGUUGUAAAGUACUUUUGGCAGAGAGGCGGUAUCUGCAGAAUAAGCACCGGCUAACUACGUGCCAGCAGCCGCGGUAAUUC